rnacentral:misc_RNA from 1 species
UUGAGCUCAUUCAGCCGAUCAAGCACAAUAAGCUUCACAUUGUUAUCACUCUGAGACAAAAGAAGCUGACAAUAGGUGCCAGCAGCACUUCUAAUAGCAGUAGGGGCAGAUGAGAGUGAAACAAGUGUCCCAGCACAUUCAUAAAUAACUGCAGUAGAAGGGGCAUUUAACAAAGAUAUAAUGAUCUUAAUGUACUUGCCCUUCUCUCCUCGAUUUGUUCGGCACACCUUCCGAAUCAACUCCAACACAACCAUCUGAAGUAAUUCACCCCAUUCAGAAACCCUAUCAACAUGGGUCAAAAGAUAAUUAAUAGCUCGGUCCUGUGCACAAGUAAAAAGCAUAAGAAAAGCAUUCCUCUUAGCAGAUUGGUCCUGCUCAGAUGAAAGAACUUUCUCAAUCAUUUCAGGAGCAUCAACCAAAAGUUGCUCACCCUGGGGAAGCUUAUAUAUAGCCAUCACAGCUAAUAUGGCAUUCCUCCUGAUAAAUGGAUGCCGAUGCUCCAGAUUUUGCAGAACUGAAGGGAUCAAUGGCUCAAUUAUUUCUGUCUCAUUCAAUCGGCACAAAAACCUCAAUGUCACCCCACGAAUGUAUUCAUUUGGGUGCUGAAGGUUGUUCC